rnacentral:rRNA from 1 species
UCGCGGCGGUGCGCGCAGAAGGGUCUGGGCUCGAGCCUGCCUGGAGCCGCCGCCGGUGCAGAUCUUGGUGGUAGUAGCAAAUACUCCAGCGAGGCCCUGGAGGACUGACGUGGAGAAGGGUUUCGUGUGAACAGCCGUUGCACACGAGUCAGUCGACCCUAAGCCCUAGGAGAAAUCCGAUGUAAACGGCGUUGGGAAAAACAUUGUGUUCAGACAGAAGCCCAUUGAUCGGGCGAAAGGGAAUCCGGUUCCUAUUCCGGAACCCGGCAGCGGAACCGUUGUUUGUCGGGCCCUCACAAGGGGUUCGUCAGGGCAACCUAAAAGGGCCCGGAGACGCCGUCGGGAGCCCCGGAAAGAGUUUUCUUUUCUGCAUGAGCGUUCGAGUUCCCUGGAAUCCUCUCGCAGGGAGAUAGGGUUUGGAACGCGAAGAGCACCGCAGUUGCGGCGGUGCCCGGGAAUCCCCGACGGACCUUGAAAAUCCGGGAGAGGGCCACGUGGAGGUGUCGCGCCGGCUCGUACCCAUAUCCGCAGCAGGUCUCCAAGGUGAAGAGCCUCUAGUC